rnacentral:rRNA from 1 species
GACGAACGCUGGCGGCGUGCUUAACACAUGCAAGUCGAACGAUGAAGGAGAGCUUGCUCUCCGGAUAGUGGCGAACGGGUGAGUAACACGUGACUAACCUGCCCCUUUCUCUGGGAUAACGCUCCGAAAGGAGUGCUAAUACCGGAUACGAACUCUGAACACAUGUUCGGAGUUGGAAAGUUUUUCGGAAAGGGAUGGAGUCGCGGCCUAUCAGCUUGUUGGUGAGGUAAUGGCUCACCAAGGCGACGACGGGUAGCCGGCCUGAGAGGGCGACCGGCCACACUGGGACUGAGACACGGCCCAGACUCCUACGGGAGGCAGCAGUGGGGAAUAUUGCACAAUGGGCGGAAGCCUGAUGCAGCAACGCCGCGUGAGGGAUGACGGCCUUCGGGUUGUAAACCUCUUUUAGCAGGGAAGAAGCGAAAGUGACGGUACCUGCAGAAAAAGCACCGGCUAACUACGUGCCAGCCGCCGCCGUAA